UCAAGCGAACAAGUGCAUGUGGUGGAUGCCUUGGCGAUCACAGGCGAUGAAGGACGCGGUAGCCUGCGAAAAGCGGUGGGGAGCUGGCAAACGAGCUUUGAUCCACCGAUAUCCGAAUGGGGAAACCCGGCCCGUAUGGGUCAUCCGUAGCUGAAUACAUAGGCUACGUGAAGCGAACGCGGUGAACUGAAACAUCUAAGUAACCGCAGGAAAAGAAAUCAACCGAGAUUCCCAGAGUAGUGGCGAGCGAAAUGGGACCAGCCUGUACUCUUUAUUUGUAGUGUUAGCCGAACGCUCUGGAAAGUGCGGCCAUAGCAGGUGAUAGCCCUGUAGGCGAAAACAUUAUGAAAGAACUGGGUGUACGACAAGUAGGGCGGGACACGUGAAAUCCUGUCUGAAGAUGGGGGGACCAUCCUCCAAGGCUAAAUACUCGUGAUCGACCGAUAGUGAACCAGUACCGUGAGGGAAAGGCGAAAAGAACCCCGGGAGGGGAGUGAAACAGAUCCUGAAACCGCAUGCAUACAAACAGUCGGAGCCUCGCAAGGGGUGACGGCGUACCUUUUGUAUAAUGGGUCAGCGACUUACAUUCAGUGGCAAGCUUAACCGAUUAGGGCAGGCGUAGCGAAAGCGAGUCCGAACAGGGCGUUCAGUCGCUGGGUGUAGACCCGAAACCAGGUGAUCUAUCCAUGGCCAGGAUGAAGGUGCGGUAACACGUACUGGAGGUCCGAACCCACUAACGUUGAAAAGUUAGGGGAUGAGCUGUGGAUAGGGGUGAAAGGCUAAACAAACCUGGAAAUAGCUGGUUCUCUCCGAAAACUAUUUAGGUAGUGCCUCGUGUAUCACCUUCGGGGGUAGAGCACUGUCAUGGUUGUGGGGUCCAUUGCGGAUUACUACGCCAUAGCAAACUCCGAAUACCGAAGAGUGCAAUCACGGGAGACAGACAUCGGGUGCUAACGUCCGGUGUCAAGAGGGAAACAACCCAGACCGCCAGCUAAGGUCCCCAAAUAUGGCUAAGUGGGAAACGAAGUGGGAAGGCUAAAACAGUCAGGAGGUUGGCUUAGAAGCAGCCAUCCUUUAAAGAAAGCGUAAUAGCUCACUGAUCGAGUCGUCCUGCGCGGAAGAUGUAACGGGGCUAAGCCAUAUACCGAAGCUGCGGAUGCACAGUAAUGUGCAUGGUAGGAGAGCGUUCCGUAAGCCUGCGAAGGUGCACUGGAAAGUGUGCUGGAGGUAUCGGAAGUGCGAAUGCUGACAUGAGUAGCGAUAAAGGGGGUGAAAGGCCCCCUCGCCGUAAGCCCAAGGUUUCCUACGCAACGUUCAUCGGCGUAGGGUGAGUCGGCCCCUAAGGCGAGGCAGAAAUGCGUAGCUGAUGGGAAGCAGGUUAAUAUUCCUGCACCAUUGUUAAAUGCGAUGGGGGGACGGAUCGCGGAAGGUUGUCCGGGUGUUGGAAGUCCCGGUCCUUGCAUUGGAGAAGGCGCUCAGGCAAAUCCGGGCGCGGAAUUCAAGGGUGCGAGGCCAGUCGCUUAGGCGACGAAGCAAUCGGAAGUGGUUCCAAGAAAAGCCUCUAAGCUUCAGUUUAACAGGACCGUACCGCAAACCGACACAGGUGGGCGAGAUGAGUAUUCUAAGGCGCUUGAGAGAACUCGGGAGAAGGAACUCGGCAAAUUGGUACCGUAACUUCGGGAUAAGGUACGCCCCUGUAGCCUGACUGGCCUGCGCCAGGAGGGUGAAGGGGUUGCAAUAAACUGGUGGCUGCGACUGUUUAAUAAAAACACAGCACUCUGCAAACACGAAAGUGGACGUAUAGGGUGUGACGCCUGCCCGGUGCCGGAAGAUUAAAUGAUGGGGUGCAAGCUCUUGAUUGAAGUCCCGGUAAACGGCGGCCGUAACUAUAACGGUCCUAAGGUAGCGAAAUUCCUUGUCGGGUAAGUUCCGACCUGCACGAAUGGCGUAACGAUGGCCACACUGUCUCCUCCCGAGACUCAGCGAAGUUGAAGUGUUUGUGAUGAUGCAAUCUCCCCGCGGCUAGACGGAAAGACCCCAUGAACCUUUACUGUAGCUUUGCAUUGGACUUUGAACCGAUCUGUGUAGGAUAGGUGGGAGGCUAUGAAGCGUGGACGCCAGUCUGCGUGGAGCCGUCCUUGAAAUACCACCCUGGUUUGUUUGAGGUUCUAACCUUGGCCCGUGAUCCGGGUCGGGGACAGUGCAUGGUAGGCAGUUUGACUGGGGCGGUCUCCUCCCAAAGUGUAACGGAGGAGUACGAAGGUACGCUAGGUACGGUCGGAAAUCGUGCUGAUAGUGCAAUGGCAUAAGCGUGCUUAACUGCGAGACCGACAAGUCGAGCAGGUGCGAAAGCAGGUCAUAGUGAUCCGGUGGUUCUGUAUGGAAGGGCCAUCGCUCAACGGAUAAAAGGUACUCUGGGGAUAACAGGCUGAUACCGCCCAAGAGUUCAUAUCGACGGCGGUGUUUGGCACCUCGAUGUCGGCUCAUCUCAUCCUGGGGCUGUAGCCGGUCCCAAGGGUAUGGCUGUUCGCCAUUUAAAGAGGUACGUGAGCUGGGUUUAAAACGUCGUGAGACAGUUUGGUCCCUAUCUGCCGUGGGCGCUGGAUAUUUGAAGGGGGCUGCUCCUAGUACGAGAGGACCGGAGUGGACGAACCUCUGGUGUACCGGUUGUCACGCCAGUGGCAUCGCCGGGUAGCUAUGUUCGGAAGAGAUAACCGCUGAAAGCAUCUAAGCGGGAAACUCGCCUUAAGAUGAGAUAUCCCCGGGGCUUCGAGCCCCUUGAAGGGUCGUUCAAGACCAGGACGUUGAUAGGUCAGGUGUGGAAGCGCAGUAAUGCGUUAAGCUAACUGAUACUAAUUGCCCGUAAGGCUUGAUCCU
rnacentral:rRNA from 1 species